rnacentral:rRNA from 1 species
UUUUGCGAGCGGGGCUAAAUGCGAGUGAAGAACGGAGAGGAGCUUGCUCCUCAAAGUUAGUGGCAGACGGGUGAGUAACGCGUGGGUAACCUACCUCUAAGUGGGGAAUACCUGGCCGAAAGGCCAGUUAAUACCGCAUAAUAUUUAGAUGCCUUAGGUCAUCUAAUUCAAAGCUGGGGAUCUUCGGACCUGGCGCUCGGAGAGGGACUCGCGUCAGAUUAGCUAGUUGGUGGGGUAACGGCCUACCAAGGCAACGAUCUGUAGCCGGCCUGAGAGGGUGAUCGGCCACACUGGAACUGAGACACGGUCCAGACUCCUACGGGAGGCAGCAGUGGGGAAUUUUGCGCAAUGGGGGAAACCCUGACGCAGCAACGCCGCGUGAGUGAAGAAGCAUCUUGGUGUGUAAAGCUCUGUCAACAGGGACCAAGGUCAGUAAGUUAAUAGCUGAUUGACUUGAUUGUACCUGUGAAGGAAGCCCCGGCUAACUCCGUGCCAGCAGCCGCGGUAAUACGGAGGGGGCAAGCGUUAUUCGGAAUUACUGGGCGUAAAGGGCGCGUAGGCGGCCUGGUCAAUGGAAAGUGAAAGCCCUCGGCUCAACCGAGGAACAGCUUCCCAUACUGCCAGGCUAGAGGAUGGGAGAGGAAAGUGGAAUUCCCGGUGUAGCGGUGAAAUGCGUAGAGAUCGGGAGGAACACCAGUGGCGAAGGCGGCUUUCUGGACCAUUACUGACGCUGAGGCGCGAAAGCGUGGGGAGCAAACAGGAUUAGAUACCCUGGUAGUCCACGCCCUAAACGAUGGAUACUUUGUGUUGCGGGUAUCGACCCCUGCAACGCAGGAGUUAACGCAUUA